GUGGGGAAUAUUGGACAAUGGGCGAAAGCCUGAUCCAGCCAUGCCGCGUGUGUGAAGAAGGUCUUCGGAUUGUAAAGCACUUUAAGUUGGGAGGAAGGGCAGUAAGUUAAUACCUUGCUGUUUUGACGUUACCAACAGAAUAAGCACCGGCUAACUUCGUGCCAGCAGCCGCGGUAAUACGAAGGGUGCAAGCGUUAAUCGGAAUUACUGGGCGUAAAGCGCGCGUAGGUGGUUCAGCAAGUUGGAGGUGAAAUCCCCGGGCUCAACCUGGGAACUGCCUCCAAAACCACUGAGCUAGAGUACGGUAGAGGGUAGUGGAAUUUCCUGUGUAGCGGUGAAAUGCGUAGAUAUAGGAAGGAACACCAGUGGCGAAGGCGACUACCUGGACUGAUACUGACACUGAGGUGCGAAAGCGUGGGGAGCAAACAGGAUUAGAAACCCUUGUAGUCC
rnacentral:rRNA from 1 species